AGAGUUUGAUCCUGGCUCAGAGCGAACGCUGGCGGCAGGCCUAAUACAUGCAAGUCGAACGCACCUUCGGGUGAGUGGCGGACGGGUGAGUAACACGUGGGAACGUGCCCUUCGGUUCGGAAUAACUCAGGGAAACUUGAGCUAAUACCGGAUAAGCCCUACGGGGGAAAGAUUUAUCGCCAUUGGAGCGGCCCGCGUCUGAUUAGCUAGUUGGUGGGGUAAUGGCCCACCAAGGCGACGAUCAGUAGCUGGUCUGAGAGGAUGAUCAGCCACACUGGGACUGAGACACGGCCCAGACUCCUACGGGAGGCAGCAGUAGGGAAUCUUGCGCAAUGGGCGAAAGCCUGACGCAGCCAUGCCGCGUGGAUGAUGAAGGUCUUAGGAUUGUAAAAUCCUUUCAGCGGGGACGAUAAUGACGGUACCCGCAGAAGAAGCCCCGGCUAACUUCGUGCCAGCAGCCGCGGUAAUACGAAGGGGGCUAGCGUUGCUCGGAUUUACUGGGCGUAAAGGGCGCGUAGGCGGACAGUUUAGUCAGAGGUGAAAGCCCAGGGCUCAACCUUGGAAUUGCCUUUGAUACUGGCUGUCUUGAGUACGGGAGAGGUGAGUGGAACUCCGAGUGUAGAGGUGAAAUUCGUAGAUAUUCGGAAGAACACCAGUGGCGAAGGCGACUCACUGGCCCGUUACUGACGCUGAGGCGCGAAAGCGUGGGGAGCAAACAGGAUUAGAUACCCCGGUAGUCC
rnacentral:rRNA from 1 species